rnacentral:rRNA from 1 species
CCUACGGGAGGCAGCAGUGGGGAAUUUUGGACAAUGGGCGCAAGCCUGAUCCAGCAAUGCCGCGUGAGUGAAGAAGGCCUUCGGGUUGUAAAGCUCUUUUGUCAGGGAAGAAAAGGGUGCGGCUAAUAUCUGCGCCUCAUGACGGUACCUGAAGAAUAAGCACCGGCUAACUACGUGCCAGCAGCCGCGGUAAUACGUAGGGUGCAAGCGUUAAUCGGAAUUACUGGGCGUAAAGCGUGCGCAGGCGGUUUUGUAAGACUGUCGUGAAAUCCCCGGGCUCAACCUGGGAAUGGCGAUGGUGACUGCAAGGCUAGAGUUUGGCAGAGGGGGGUAGAAUUCCACGUGUAGCAGUGAAAUGCGUAGAUAUGUGGAGGAACACCGAUGGCGAAGGCAGCCCCCUGGGUCAAAACUGACGCUCAUGCACGAAAGCGUGGGGAGCAAACAGGGUUAGAUACCCUGGUAGUCCACGCCCUAAACGAUGUCUACUAGUUGUCGGGUCUUAAUUGACUUGGUAACGCAGCUAACGCGUGAAGUAGACCGCCUGGGGAGUACGGUCGCAAGAUUAAAACUUAAAUGAAUUGA